GCCAUCCCAGUUCGGAUUGCAGGCUGCAACCCGCCUGUAUGAAGUUGGAAUCGCUAGUAAUCGCGGAUCAGCAUGCCGCGGUGAAUACGUUCCCGGGCCUUGUACACACCGCCCGUCACACCAUGAGAGUCGGGAACACCCGAAGUCCGUAGCCUAACCGCAAGGGGGGCGCGGCCGAAGGUGGGUUCGAUAAUUGGGGUGAAGUCGUAACAAGGUAAC
rnacentral:rRNA from 1 species